rnacentral:rRNA from 1 species
GAUGAACGCUGGCGGCGUGCCUAAUACAUGCAAGUCGAGCGAACGGACGAGAAGCUUGCUUCUCUGAUGUUAGCGGCGGACGGGUGAGUAACACGUGGAUAACCUACCUAUAAGACUGGGAUAACUUCGGGAAACCGGAGCUAAUACCGGAUAAUAUUUUGAACCGCAUGGUUCAAAAGUGAAAGACGGUCUUGCUGUCACUUAUAGAUGGAUCCGCGCUGCAUUAGCUAGUUGGUAAGGUAACGGCUUACCAAGGCAACGAUGCAUAGCCGACCUGAGAGGGUGAUCGGCCACACUGGAACUGAGACACGGUCCAGACUCCUACGGGAGGCAGCAGUAGGGAAUCUUCCGCAAUGGGCGAAAGCCUGACGGAGCAACGCCGCGUGAGUGAUGAAGGUCUUCGGAUCGUAAAACUCUGUUAUUAGGGAAGAACAUAUGUGUAAGUAACUGUGCACAUCUUGACGGUACCUAAUCAGAAAGCCACGGCUAACUACGUGCCAGCAGCCGCGGUAAUACGUAGGUGGCAAGCGUUAUCCGGAAUUAUUGGGCGUAAAGCGCGCGUAGGCGGUUUUUUAGUCUGAUGUGAAAGCCCACGGCUCAACCGUGGAGGGUCAUUGGAAACUGGAAAACUUGAGUGCAGAAGAGGAAAGUGGAAUUCCAUGUGUAGCGGUGAAAUGCGCAGAGAUAUGGAGGGACACCAGUGGCGAAGGCGACUUUCUGGUCUGUAACUGACGCUGAUGUGCGAAAGCGUGGGGAUCAAACAGGAUUAGAUACCCUGGUAGUCCACGCCGUAAACGAUGAGUGCUAAGUGUUAGGGGGUUUCCGCCCCUUAGUGCUGCAGCUAACGCAUUAAGCACUCCGCCUGGGGAGUACGACCGCAAGGUUGAAACUCAAAGGAAUUGACGGGGACCCGCACAAGCGGUGGAGCAUGUGGUUUAAUUCGAAGCAACGCGAAGAACCUUACCAAAUCUUGACAUCCUUUGACAACUCUAGAGAUAGAGCUUUCCCCUUCGGGGGACAAAGUGACAGGUGGUGCAUGGUUGUCGUCAGCUCGUGUCGUGAGAUGUUGGGUUAAGUCCCGCAACGAGCGCAACCCUUAAGCUUAGUUGCCAUCAUUAAGUUGGGCACUCUAAGUUGACUGCCGGUGACAAACCGGGGGAAGGUGGGGAUGACGUCAAAUCAUCAUGCCCCUUAUGAUUUGGGCUACACACGUGCUACAAUGGACAAUACAAAGGGCAGCGAAACCGUGAGGUCAAGCAAAUCCCAUAAAGUUGUUCUCAGUUCGGAUUGUGGUCUGCAACUCGACUACAUGAAGCUGGAAUCGCUAGUAAUCGUAGAUCAGCAUGCUACGGUGAAUACGUUCCCGGGUCU